AAGUCGUAACAAGGUUUCCGUAGGUGAACCUGCGGAAGGAUCAUUAUCAAAAGUCAAGUCGGGGGCUGCAAAGCCUUCGUCUACACCCAUGUCUUUUGCGUACUUCUUGUUUCCUCGGUGGCGCAAGCCGCCGAUUGGACAAACCAAAACCUUUUUUGUAAUUGCAAUCAGCGUCUGAAAAUAAUCUAAUUAUUUACAACUUUCAACAACGGAUCUCUUGGUUCUGGC
rnacentral:misc_RNA from 1 species